AUUGAACGCUGGCGGCAGGCCUAACCAAGGAAGGUGGGCGGAAGGAGGGAGGCUGGCUCCGGGAUUAGCGGGCGGAGGGGGGGGAAAGCCCUGGAAACCGCCCGGGAAGGGGGGAUAAAGGUCGGGAAAGGGGGCCAAAUACGCCAUCGGCCCGGGGGGGGAAGGGGGGGGACCUUCGAACCUACCGCUAUCAGAGAACCCAGGUCGGAUUAGCUAGUUGGUGGGGGAAAGGCCUACCAAGGCGACGGUCCGUAACUGGUCUGAGAGGAUGAUCAGUCACACUGGAACUGAGACACGGUCCAGACUCCUACGGGAGGCAGCAGUGGGGAAUAUUGGACAAUGGGCGAAAGCCUGAUCCAGCCAUGCCGCGUGUGUGAAGAAGGUCUUCGGAUUGUAAAGCACUUUAAGUUGGGAGGAAGGGCAGUAAGUUAAUACCUUGCUGUUUUGACGUUACCAACAGAAUAAGCACCGGCUAACUUCGUG
rnacentral:rRNA from 1 species